rnacentral:rRNA from 1 species
UACGUAGGGUGCGAGCGUUAAUCGGAAUUACUGGGCGUAAAGCGUGCGCAGGCGGUUUUGUAAGCCAGAUGUGAAAUCCCCGGGCUUAACCUGGGAAUGGCAUUUGGGACUGCAAGGCUUGAGUGCGGCAGAGGAGACUGGAAUUCCCGGUGUAGCAGUGAAAUGCGUAGAUAUCGGGAGGAACACCAGUGGCGCAGGCGGCGUCCUGGACCGGCACUGACGCUGAGGAGCGAAAGCGUGGGGAGCAAACAGG